AAAUUGAAGAGUUUGAUCAUGGCUCAGAUUGAACGCUGGCGGCAGGCCUAACACAUGCAAGUCGAGCGGUAGCACAGAGAGCUUGCUCUCGGGUGACGAGCGGCGGACGGGUGAGUAAUGUCUGGGAAACUGCCUGAUGGAGGGGGAUAACUACUGGAAACGGUAGCUAAUACCGCAUAACGUCGCAAGACCAAAGUGGGGGACCUUCGGGCCUCAUGCCAUCAGAUGUGCCCAGAUGGGAUUAGCUAGUAGGUGGGGUAAUGGCUCACCUAGGCGACGAUCCCUAGCUGGUCUGAGAGGAUGACCAGCCACACUGGAACUGAGACACGGUCCAGACUCCUACGGGAGGCAGCAGUGGGGAAUAUUGCACAAUGGGCGCAAGCCUGAUGCAGCCAUGCCGCGUGUGUGAAGAAGGCCUUCGGGUUGUAAAGCACUUUCAGCGGGGAGGAAGGCGAUAAGGUUAAUAACCUUGUCGAUUGACGUUACCCGCAGAAGAAGCACCGGCUAACUCCGUGCCAGCAGCCGCGGUAAUACGGAGGGUGCAAGCGUUAAUCGGAAUUACUGGGCGUAAAGCGCACGCAGGCGGUCUGUCAAGUCGGAUGUGAAAUCCCCGGGCUCAACCUGGGAACUGCAUUCGAAACUGGCAGGCUAGAGUCUUGUAGAGGGGGGUAGAAUUCCAGGUGUAGCGGUGAAAUGCGUAGAGAUCUGGAGGAAUACCGGUGGCGAAGGCGGCCCCCUGGACAAAGACUGACGCUCAGGUGCGAAAGCGUGGGGAGCAAACAGGAUUAGAUACCCUGGUAGUCCACGCCGUAAACGAUGUCGAUUUGGAGGUUGUGCCCUUGAGGCGUGGCUUCCGGAGCUAACGCGUUAAAUCGACCGCCUGGGGAGUACGGCCGCAAGGUUAAAACUCAAAUGAAUUGACGGGGGCCCGCACAAGCGGUGGAGCAUGUGGUUUAAUUCGAUGCAACGCGAAGAACCUUACCUGGUCUUGACAUCCACAGAACUUUCCAGAGAUGGAUUGGUGCCUUCGGGAACUGUGAGACAGGUGCUGCAUGGCUGUCGUCAGCUCGUGUUGUGAAAUGUUGGGUUAAGUCCCGCAACGAGCGCAACCCUUAUCCUUUGUUGCCAGCGGUUAGGCCGGGAACUCAAAGGAGACUGCCAGUGAUAAACUGGAGGAAGGUGGGGAUGACGUCAAGUCAUCAUGGCCCUUACGACCAGGGCUACACACGUGCUACAAUGGCAUAUACAAAGAGAAGCGACCUCGCGAGAGCAAGCGGACCUCAUAAAGUAUGUCGUAGUCCGGAUUGGAGUCUGCAACUCGACUCCAUGAAGUCGGAAUCGCUAGUAAUCGUAGAUCAGAAUGCUACGGUGAAUACGUUCCCGGGCCUUGUACACACCGCCCGUCACACCAUGGGAGUGGGUUGCAAAAGAAGUAGGUAGCUUAACCUUCGGGAGGGCGCUUACCACUUUGUGAUUCAUGACUGGGGUGAAGUCGUAACAAGGUAACCGUAGGGGAACCUGCGGUUGGAUCACCUCCUUA
rnacentral:rRNA from 2 species